UACGGAGGGUGCAAGCGUUAUCCGGAUUCACUGGGUUUAAAGGGUGCGUAGGCGGGCAUGUAAGUCAGUGGUGAAAUCUCAAGGCUUAACUUUGAAACUGCCAUUGAUACUAUGUGUCUUGAAUUUCCUGGAGGUUAGCGGAAUAUGUCAUGUAGCGGUGAAAUGCUUAGAUAUGACAUAGAACACCGAUUGCGAAGGCAGCUGACGAAACUAUAACUGACACUGAGGCUCGAAAGUGCGGGGAUCAAACAGG
rnacentral:rRNA from 1 species